rnacentral:tRNA from 1 species
GCGGAGCUCUGGUGAGAAAAAUCUUCCAACCCAAGCGAGAGAUUGCGUGUAUUGAAAUUUGCUACCCGCCAAGAGGGGCGCAGAGGGUUCGAUUCCCUCUCUCCGCACCA